UCAUGGAAUCUUUGAACGCCCCUUGCGCCCUUUGGCCAUUCGGAAGGCCAUCCCUGUUGGAGUUUCGUGAAUUCUUCAACUCCUUAUGGCUUGCCAUAAUGAGCUUGGGACCUUGGGGGUCUU
rnacentral:rRNA from 1 species